GGCCAAUGUUCUGUGGUCAGUAGCAAUAGGACGUCUGCAAGCUGUGCACAGACGACAUUGGUCAUGGUGUGACCUUCAGACUUUGGGAUGGAGGUCUUAGUCUGACAUGCAGGUUACAUUGGGAAGACUGGAGUCUGGAGUGGACCAGUUAUUAGUCUGACAUGCAGGUUACAUUGGGAAGACUGGAGUCUGGAGUGGACCAGUUAUUAGUCUGACAUGCAGGUUACAUUGGGAAGACUGGAGUCUGGAGUGGACCAGUUAUUAGUCUGACAUGCAGGUUACAUUGGGAAGACUGGAGUCUGGAGUGGACCAGUUAUUAGUCUGACAUGCAGGUUACAUUGGGAAGACUGGAGUCUGGAGUGGACCAGUUAUUAGUCUGACAUGCAGGUUACAUUGGGAAGACUGGAGUCUGGAGUGGACCAGUUAUUAGUCUGACAUGCAGGUUACAUUUGGAAGACUGGAGUCUGGAACCUCUUCCCCUUAUCAAACAUACAUUAUGGUGGAUAUUUAAACACAAGUACAAACU